AGAUUGAACGCUGGCGGCAUGCCUAACACAUGCAAGUCGAACGGGAGUAGCAAUACUCUAGUGGCGGACGGGUGAGGAAUACGUAGGAAUUUGCCCUUAAGUGGGGGAUAACCCGGGGAAACCCGGAUUAAUACCGCAUGACCUCGAAAGAGCAAAGUGGGGGAUCGCAAGACCUCACGCUUUUGGAGAAGCCUACGUCGGAUUAGCUAGUUGGUGAGGUAAUGGCUCACCAAGGCGACGAUCCGUAACUGGUCUGAGAGGAUGAUCAGUCACACCGAACUGAGACACGGUCCGACUCCUACGGGAGCAGCAGUGGGGAAUAGUUGGACAA
rnacentral:rRNA from 1 species